rnacentral:rRNA from 1 species
GAUGAACGCUGACAGAAUGCUUAACACAUGCAAGUCGAUGGGGAAGUGGUUCUUGCUCCCUGGCAACCAUGGCGGACGGGUGAGUAACGCGUAAGGGACUUACCUGCCGGACUGGGAUAACAGGGGGAAACUCCUGACAAGACCGGAUAAUGUCAUGGAGCUGCAUGGCUUUAUGAUGAAAGGAGACGCCUGCGGAGAGCCUUGCGUCCUAUUAGCUAGUUGGUGAGGUAAUGGCUCACCAAGGCGAAGAUAGGUAGCCGGCCUGAGAGGGUGGACGGCCACAAGGGGACUGAGAUACGGCCCGUACUCAGAAGGGAGGCAGCAGUGGGGAAUAUUGGACAGUGGGGGCAACCCUGAGCCAGCAAUUCUGUGUGCACGAAGAAGGUUUUCGGAAUGUAAAGUGCUUUCAGCAGGGAAGAAGGAAGUGACGGUACCUGCAGAAGAAGCGACGGCUAAAUACGUG